GACAGAGGCCUCAAGCGUUAGGCGGAAUCACUGGGCUUAAAGCGUGUGUAGGCGGAUCGUUAAGUGUCUUGUGAAAUCCCACGGCUCACCCGUGGAACUGCUGGGCAUACUGGCGAUCUUGGGCCAACUAGGGGCAACUGGAACAAGCGGUGGAGCGGUGAAAUGCGUUGAGAUCGGAAGGAACGCCCGUGGCGAAAGCGAGUUCCUGGACGUCGGCUGACGCUGAGACGCGAAAGCCAGGGGAGCGAACGGG
rnacentral:rRNA from 1 species